rnacentral:rRNA from 1 species
CCUACGGGAGGCAGCAGUGGGGAAUAUUGGACAAUGGGGGGAACCCUGAUCCAGCCAUGCCGCGUGUGUGAAGAAGGCCCUCGGGUUGUAAAGCACUUUCAGUGAGGAAGAACGCCUGGUGGUUAAUACCCAUCAGGAAAGACAUCACUCACAGAAGAAGCACCGGCUAACUCCGUGCCAGCAGCCGCGGUAAUACGGCGGGUGCGAGCGUUAAUCGGAAUUACUGGGCGUAAAGCGCGCGUAGGUGGCUUGAUAAGCCGGUUGUGAAAGCCCCGGGCUCAACCUGGGAACGGCAUCCGGAACUGUCAAGCUAGAGUGCAGGAGAGGAAGGUAGAAUUCCCGGUGUAGCGGGGAAAUGCGUAGAGAUCGGGAGGAAUACCAGUGGCGAAGGCGGCCUUCUGGACUGACACUGACACUGAGGUGCGAAAGCGUGGGUAGCAAACAGGAUUAGAUACCCCGGUAGUC